CAGCUCCAGGCGCUACACCUUCUCAACCCACAGGGAUUUGCAAACUUUUCCUGUAAAGGACCUGAUUGUAAGUAUUUUAGACCUUUGCGAUCACACAUACAGCCUCUGUUUCAACUACUCCGCUCUGCCGCUACAAUGCGAAAGAAGUCUUAGGCAAUAGAAAGGGCAUAGAAGCGUUCCAACAAUACCUCAUUUACGAAAACAGAGAACUGCACAGAUAAUACACAGAUCGAUGCCAAGUAAAACAAGAAGGAAAAGCUGGCUCUGUCCAGGAAAGAGCUGACAACAAACGUGUCCUGACUGGGAAACGCUUUCUGCUGCUUCCUCCCUGCUGCCCGGCAGUGAGGGGAGAGGUGGGACUGGGGCCAUCGGGCCCUCACGUGCCGGGCAGGGCUGCUGUGCUCAGCAGAGGAUGUCUGUACAAUCUCAUUUCCUUGAGAUUUUCAAGAAAAGGUCCCAUAGGCAGCAUCUGCAUCACCAAUGGAGCCUGUUCAAAACACAGAAGCUGAGUGCAGUGGCAGGCACCUGUAAUCCCAGCUACACAGGAAGCUGAGGCAGGACGAUCACUUGAGGCCAGGAAUCCAAGAUCAGCCUGGGCAACAUAGCAGAACCUCGUCUGGAAAAAAAUUUAAGUAUAUGGAAGGAUGUUUGUGGGUUAUAUGAAAAAGAAAGAAAGAAGAUAGAGAAGGAAGGAAGGAAGGAAGGAAGGAAGGAAGGAAGGAAGGAAGGAAGGAAGGAACGAAGGAAAGAAGGAAGGGAGGAAGGAAAAAAGGGAGGAAGGAAGGAAGGAAAGAAGGAAGGAAGGAAAAAAAGUAUAAAAGGAAGGCUUUGUCCUGGAUCAGUGGCUUUCAAGUCCUCUUUUCCUCCCACCAGUGGGAUCCUUUUUAGUAAGUGAAAUAAUUGCACACAACCCCCAAACACAUAACAGAUAAGAAAGAAAUACUCUGGCAGCAAAGGGGAGGUGGGGUGGACAACCUUGACCAGCCUUGUCUAGGGUGUCCCUUUCCUUCCCUUGCACCUGCAGGCGGCUCCUGAACACAAGGCUGGGUAGAGCACUUGAGCACUGCUGCA
rnacentral:lncRNA from 10 species